UUAGUAACUAGCUGUUUCCGUCCAUUUCGUUGGAGAAAAAGAUCAACUGCUGGACGGUUGGAUGGAGAUAAAAUUUCCUCUGAAAUCGACUCACGCGGAAACACAAAUGGUGAAAACCGAAAAUCCAUACGACAGAAAAUUGCCCUAAGUUCAUUCAGGAUUUUUAAAUCGAAUGAAUCAGACUACGAACAACGAAUACUGCAGGAUAUUCAACAGGAACAAUGUGAAUUCCAAAGCUAUCGAUUUAGAGACACCGAUUUGUUGAAACGACACCUGUAUCGCUGCCCCGUAGAGAGACCUCGGAUUUGUAUUUCCGCAUGUGGCUUGCCCCUGAAACAUCUUAGUGAGAAGGUCCAGGUAAAUGAAAAACUUAAUCGAUUAGAUUGGGUUUUUCAAACCGAGGAUGAAGAAGUUAUGGCAGAGCGAUUCAACAGAGAAUUAACGACUAUCUUAGGGAUUUGAACCAACCUUCUUAUGCUUUAUUUUAGAUGGUAAGUUGAACUUAAUUACAUUUUUUUAAGUUUUCUCAAUAAUUGAGUCGUUCCUAGUAAUAUUAGUGGUACAAAUCAAGACAGAGUUUAGUACACUUUGACUAAUAAAAUAAUGUUAUGUAGGUUUGACUACAAAAAACAUAGCUGAACAUGUCAAAAUAGAUUUACUUCACAUAACUGUAGUUGUAACCAGUUAUCAGUUAGGUACUUCGAAAUAGGCAAAU